rnacentral:tRNA from 1 species
GCGCCGGUGGCUCAAUUGGAUAGAGCACCUGACUUCGGAUCAGGCGGUUAGGGGUUCGAGUCCCUUCCGGCGCG